AGCACUACGGCCCUGCCAUCUCUCUGGGUAAUAACUCCAGCGCCAGUUGAUUUUCCAUCACUAAAUCUCCUACGUCACUUCCACUUCGUCUUGUCCACCGAAUAGAUGCAAGGAUGGAGUUGCUCUCCCUUUUGCAAUUAAUUUUUCACUAUUUUUUCUGUGCUCAGUGUCGUCUGUUCCCCUCCCCUCCCAUCCAGUGCAAGAUGUCGUGCCUCUAUUUAAUCUUCUCCCCUCCCCGUCAUCUCCUCUGCCCCCUUUCUUCUCUUCCUUGAUCCUCUCCACAUGCUAUUUGUGCUUCCGUCCGUCUGCGUGUCGUGCAGAUAGACAUCACAUCCCUCCCCUCCCAUGUACAGCAUCCACAUCUCGACAGAGCCAACUCUCCUCCCGGGCCCGUCCUUCCUCAAUACCAUGACACUGCUGUCUAUCUGCACGACUUCAUCGAGGUUAGGUAUCCUCACGGGCAUGUUCCUGAGUUGUGGAGUGAUACUGGCCGGGAGGUAUCCCAAAUCAACAGCAACUGAUGAUUAAUUACUCAAAAGAGAGUCGAUAAAAUUUGAGCCAUCAUUCUGCUUCACGAUGAUUCAUGGCCGAUGAUGAAUGGCGUCACUACAGAUUGGGGGAUUCACACGUGGAUAUCAUUGAAGCUAAUAGAUUGAUAUUGAUUUAUUUCUGAUGGCGUCUUAGUCACUUUAUGCAAAUAUUUUUAGGUUGGUGUGUGGUGAGAGUAUCACUACUACAUUAAUUUUUCUAUAAUGUCACAUCAUGUUGUAAGCUGAAAGUGCAUAUAAUUUAUCACUUCGUGUUCUGUUUGUUUUC